rnacentral:ncRNA from 1 species
AUAUUAUAUGAAAGGAGAGAAGGUUAGCACUCCCCUUGACAAGGAUGGAAGAGGCCCUCAGGCCUGACAACAUGCAUAUGGUUAAGGCAUUGCCACCUACUUCUCGGCAUCUAACCACUGUUUUUA